GUCAGGCAGACGGCCAUUGCUAUUAGGUCACAGAGAUAGGGAGAGGGAAGAGGUUCACUGCUCCUUAAGGCCUGGGCCAUGGCUAGUGGAGGGCCUUGGUGAGGGCUCUGGAGCCUUGCAGGACAUAGUCCCCAGUCUGUUCCCUGGGCCCUCCAGCUCACCUGCUGGCCCAAGGCUGAGUGAGCUGGAGGGUCUCCAGGAGAAGGCCUGAAUCGGCCUCUUACUUCAAGCUCCACCUGACGCCCAUCACACCAGUGACCUUUUCUUCAAUCACUUCUCCAGUGGUUCCUCAUUGACAGUUACUUGUGAGCAGGGUCCAUUGCGGUGCUGACCAAUAGCUUAGCAGGACGAGUAAUGGUUGUUCAUUGACAGUUAGUUGCUUGUGGGUGGGGCCAUCUGAGGCACCAAUCAAUGGCUAAGACCUGUUGCCUAGUAACAGGGUGUGGAGUAUCGAGACACAGCAAUGGCUGCCUGCGAAGGGCUCUGUUCAUCUUGCUUUAUUGCAGUAACAGUAAGAACACAUGUCACAUCUGGACAAUGACUGACAUCAAGGAAGGAGAAGACAGAAAACCCAGAUAGCAGGCCCUGCCCUGAGCCCCACUCCAGGUUGCAAUGCUUGCUCCUAAUGAUGACAGUGGAUUGAAAUGAAAACAUCAAGUCAUGACCCUUGCUUCAAAAAACCCCAACUGGAAAUCAGCCAGCAAGGGAAUCUGGGAAAUAUAAUUUGAGACUCAAAACUGACAGUAUUACAAAUAAAAGUACAGAAGGGUGUACAUGGAAAUGAGAGAGAAUGGAAGACGGCAAACAUACUAGUCAAUUCAUUGAAUGCUUGGCAAAACUGUGAAUAAAUGGAAGAACCAAAGUUCAAACCAGAGUCUAACACCAGAAUCCUUGAUUGUGCAGCUGAAGUGUGGAUGUGAGGGUUGAGCCCUUUUGGACUGAGUGGAGAAGGGGAGCAUCCUAGGAGUAGCAGAUAAAUAAUCUGGAAGAAGUCUAGAUUCCCAAGAUUGAUAAACUGCCAUGCCAGCCCUGGAGAGCCUACUGUAAGUGAUAAAUGAGAGGAAGGAUUCCAUCUGAGAAGCACAGGGGAGCCAUUGCUCUCAGGUACCCAGAGCACUGAAUGGAGAUCCUGGCAUUUGUUCUACCUGAAGCAGAAAUGUAAGCCUGCCUUAUCCACACAUUUGCGUAAUUGUUACCAGGAGUAUCUUUUGGGAAGACCUUUUAGAGAAUGGGUACAGCAGUGGGAAGAGCAAAUUUUCUCUCCAUAUGUCAAGCAGGGACAUUCAAGAUUUUGGCCAAGCAUGCUCUGAAGGAAUGUGGAGUUCGCUGCAAAUCCAGAAAGCUGCUGUGAGAUCUUACAGUUGGUGUGGAGGAGGUAGUAAAAAACACUAAUAUUUCUGGAAUGGAAGCUUUAGUUGAGUGCAAGAAAGAUAACAUAACUUAGAACAAAUGGCCUUUGAAAUCAAAGCCCUCUUUUGCAGAUGAUCUGACCCGACUUUUUGGUUGGCUCUUUUCAAAAUAAUCCCCACGAAAGGAUGAGUCAUUACACGGGCUCCAAAUUUGCACCAUCCUUCUCUUCCCUGGAAGAGCAAUAAGCAGAGAUCCUAAAACCAGACUUGGGGAGGAGGGGGAGCACUGAUGGUUUUCAGAUUCUGAAUUCUUUCAUGUUAAAGGGUUGCCUGCCUGCCUGCUAAGUUGCUUCAGUUGUGUCCAGCUUUUUUUGACCCCAUGUAGCCCGCCAGGAUCCUCUGUCUGUAGGAUUCUCCAGGCAAGAAUACUAGAGUGGGUUGCCAUACUCUCCUCCAGGGGAUCCUCCUGAUUCAAUCCUCCAGAGAUUGAAUUCAUGUCUCUUAUGUCCCCUGUGUUGGCAGGCAGGUUCUUUAUCACUGGCGCCACCUGGAAAGCCUGUUAAAGGGUUAUAUGUUAACUUCUAAAACAAUUGAGGUGAACUUCACAUAACAUAAAAUUAACAUUCUAAAGCAAACCACUUACUGUCAUUCAGCACAUUAUGUUGUAU
ensembl:lncRNA